UACGUAGGGGGCAAGCGUUGUCCGGAAUCAUUGGGCGUAAAGAGCGUGUAGGCGGUCCGGUAAGUCGGUUGUGAAAGCCCAGGGCUCAACCCUGGGAUGCCGACCGAUACUGUCGGACUAGAGUUCGGAAGAGGCGAGUGGAAUUCCCGGUGUAGCGGUGAAAUGCGUAGAUAUCUGGAGGAAUACCGGUGGCGAAGGCGGCAUCCUGGACCGGCAUUGACGCUGAGGAGCGAAAGCUAGGGGAGCAAACGGG
rnacentral:rRNA from 1 species